rnacentral:rRNA from 1 species
GAUGAACGCUGGCGGCGUGCUUAAUACAUGCAAGUCGAACGAAUGGAUGUCUAGCUUGCUAGACUGAAGUUAGUGGCGAACGGGUGAGUAAUACAUAGGCAAUCUGCCCUGAAGUGUGGGAUAGCUAUUGGAAACGAUAAUUAAUACCGCAUAGGUAGUAAGAAGGCAUCUUCCUACUAUUAAAGAUGCGUCUGCAUCGCUGCAGGAUGAGCUUAUGGUGUAUUAGCUAGUUGGUGAGAUAAAAGCCCACCAAGGCGAGGAUCAGUAGCCGAUCUGAGAGGAUGAACGGCCACAAUGGAACUGAGACACGGUCCAUACUCCUACGGGAGGCAGCAGUAGGGAGUUUUCGACAAUGGGGGCAACCCUGAUCGAGCAACGCCGCGUGUGUGAUGAAGGUCUUCGGAUUGUAAAGCACUUUUAUAAGGGAUAAAUGGUAUUGAUAGUGGAAAGAUUAAUAUUUGAUAGUACCUUA